UCAAAAUUCAUCGAUAUGUAACCCUGAUCGAACAGUCCCAACCAGUGGGACUCUUGACCCCGGUACCCAUAAUGUGUGGAACUCGUGAUCAGAGAAUCUUGAUUCUCGAUCACUGAGUCUCAAACAUGUAGGAUUCUACAUCAGCCAUCAGAUCAGAUAGGAACCUCUAAUGUGUGUGACCCCGCAGGUUCGAACCUAAGUCGGUAGCACAGGAACCAAUUCCUGUACUAAUCGAAGUGACCAUCUAGCAAUGGUACCCGAUGUCCAGAUAGAUCGAAGAGUCACAAUCGCAACACUCAGAACCUACAUGAAUAUGGUUACUGUAUAAUUCAUCAUUUUGACCCCUGUGUUUAGGAUGACUCAGGGUUAAACUGUCAACCCUGAUC
rnacentral:lncRNA from 1 species